rnacentral:rRNA from 1 species
UACGUAGGGGGCAAGCGUUGUCCGGAUUUAUUGGGCGUAAAGAGCGCGCAGGCGGCUUGGUAAGUCGGAUGUGAAAUCCCGAGGCUCAACCUCGGGUCUGCAUCCGAUACUGCCCGGCUAGAGGUAGGUAGGGGAGAUCGGAAUUCCUGGUGUAGCGGUGAAAUGCGCAGAUAUCAGGAGGAACACCGGUGGCGAAGGCGGAUCUCUGGGCCUUACCUGACGCUCAGGCGCGAAAGUGUGGGGAGCGAACAGG